rnacentral:rRNA from 1 species
CCAAUAGCGUAUAUUAAAGUUGCUGCAGUUAAAAAGCUCGUAGUUGAAUUUCGGGACCAAUAUGUCGGUCGUGCUUCGGUACGUACUGGCAUCGUUGGUUUCUCCCUUCUGACGAACCAUGAUGUCAUUCAUUUGGUGUCGUGGGGAAUCAGGACUGUUACUUUGAAAAAAUUAGAGUGUUUAAAGCAGGCUCACGCUUGAAUACAUUAGCAUGGAAUAAUGAAAUAGGACGUUUGAUUCUAUUUUGUUGGUUUCUAGGAUCGACGUAAUGAUUAAUAG